rnacentral:rRNA from 1 species
CAAAUCAUGAACAGUGUAAAUAUGAAGAGAAACGUUGAAUGUCAUUUAAACUAAAGAAAACUGUUACUGAUGUGUACGUAGUUGCUAUAAAGAAAAUAUAUUAGUGGGUUAGUCGAGGACUUUGAAGGCAACGAACGAUCGCAAGAAUUGCCUGUGUAGAAAACGAGAAAAAAAGAUGUGUCAAUUAAUAUUGACUACUACAGCCGUUUGCUCUUCCAUUCUAUUUCUGCUCUUUUCCACGUCCACCUUACUGUCGCCCGACCGCCAUGCACUGUUUUGACUUUGCAAUAAGCAGACGAAUAUUCUGUGUUGUACGGAGAAAAAUUUUCGAGUGAUAGUGGCGAAUUCAUUACAGACAAGUGAGUGUUUUGUCAUUUAUAGAAAAAAUUUAAUAUAAACUAUAUUUGCUCGAAUCACACAAAAGGAAAAACCUUGGGUAAAGUAUUUUUUAGGCCUUUUCAAGGUUAAAUUCUUGAAAAUACAGAUUUAACAACUAUAGGUACAUACUUAACAAUUUAACAAAAAGAUUGUGAAUAUUUGUGGCAAAUAUUCACGUGCAAUAAUUGGAAGCUUCCGAUAUUUUAACAUCUUUCUCUCUACUCUCCUUUUGAUCCCUAUGUCCGCAUGACGAUAUCUUGCCAUAGUCCGACAACAUUCGACACAGAGAAAGUAAGGAGAGAUCCGUUCUAUCCAAGGCGUUGCCAGCCUACCAGGCACAACAUAUUGUGUCACUAUUUAUCUCCCUAUAGUUAUAUUGUGUUAAUAUACACUCUGUAUACUGUAUACUCUGGACGAAGGAUGCAUUGUGCUUAAACAUAUUCUUAAAAUAUUUUUAGUAUAACCUAGGACAAUGUAGAGAAAUAUGUAAUAAAAAACAUAGCCAAUGUGAUAGUGUGAUAGUAAUUAAUAAAAAAAAAAGAAAAUCCAAAUGUCCCGUUAUCUAAUUAGUGACGCGCAUGAAUGGAUUAACGGGAUUCUUUCUGCCCCUAUCUGCGAAACUAUCGAAUCUCUUGGAUGAACACAGAUGUGCCGAAACCUUCACCUUUUCGUGGUGCUUCCUACAAACAUUGAUUUUUGCUUAGGUCUCUGGCUUGAGUCGUACAGUCAAUGGCAAAGAAAGGUUUAAGGCUUGCUAUCUAUAACCGAGGUGACUGGUUUUUCUCUUAAGAGUUCUAAUCGGAAGGGGCUCCCUUCUCUAAUGAAAAAGAAUAGUUCUGUUCUCAUUCGGUUCUCUUUAAUGGAAGUCAUCAAAUUGAAAGAUGGCCAGCGAUUUUAGAGAGGGGUGGGGCACAGUUGGGUGUGUGCUGUGUGAUGACAACCUUGGGAGCAUUAUUUCUUUGCGAAAGGAUAGUGAGUGAAUUGGCCUACCGGGACGUGUGGAAUGUCCAAAGAAAAGAGCGUACAGUAUGAGAGCACCCAAAGCUGUAUAGCUAGUAUAAGUUCUAGAGUGAACGAUAAACCAGUAAGUUAAAGGGCGUCCACGGGGUCAGGUUGCCCAAAUGUAGGAUUGCUUCUGGCAGGAAGAAUGCCUGACUGCAUGGGCACGGGCCUUCAAAGAGUAUUCGUGGUGGCUGUGGUUGCCCCAAAGGUUCGCGGGGAGCUAACUAAGAGGUGCUUAGAUAGGUCUCGACGUAAACCAUUAAACGAGCAAAUAGUGCACAUCCAUUUUCUAUUACUUUACCUCAGGGUAGCAAGGCCCUCUUCAAUGGGAAUUGUCUUUCUCCCUGGGGCGUCCACAAUCGAUUGAAUUUGAUUGCCGAUGCUUGUAGGCAACCCAAAUGCGGACGUUAAACCCGUACAAAAAUCUCUCCCUAUUUACUAUCUAGCGAAAACACAGCCAAGGGAACGGGCUUAGAAAAAUUAGCGGGAAAAGAAGGCCCUGUGGUCUUGACUCUAAUCUGGUAGUGUAACGAGACAUAAGAGGUGUAGAAUAAGUGGGAGAUAUUGUUCUUUCGGGUUCAUUAUCGCAAAUGAAAUACUAGUACUCUUAUUGUUUCCCUACUUGUUUUGUGAUUAAGUGGAACGUGUAUCAUUACUUAGCCAUUAUAUGGAUAUUGAUCAAAGUACUAAAGAGUUUGUUAUAUAAUUGUAAACGAAUUUUAAUGAGAUUGUUUGGCGAUGCUUAUUCAAUCAAUAUUUAGAAUUGGGUAUAACUCCCAAUACUCAGGUGUGAUCCAAUUUAAUAGCAUUAGCAGAUAGGGAGUUUAACUGGGGUGGUACAUCUCUCAAAUAAUAAAGCUGUCCCAAGGCUAGCUCAGAAACCACACAUAGAGCAAAAGGGCAAAAGCUGACUUGAUCCCGUUGUUCGGUACACACAGGGACAACAAAAGCUCAGCCUAUGGUUUGAGAAGUUUUUAAAAGUUUUUACCGCAGGGAUAAGUGGCUUGUGACGACCAAGCAUUCAUAGCGACGACGCUUUGCGAUCCUUUCGGCUCUUCCUAUCAUUGUGAACCAAAAUUCCCCAAGCGUUGCAUUGAUCACAGAUGCAAGGGAACGCGAGCUGGGUUUAGACUGUCGUGGGACAGGUUAGUUUUACCCUAUUAAUGGAAAUAUAUUGUUACGACAGCAAUCCUGUGUAGUAUGGAAGGAACCGCAGUUAUGGACCAAAGCACAAUACUUACUCGAGCGAACAGUGGUAUGACGCCACGUCCGUUGGAUUAUGCCUGAACGCCGUUUAGGCGGUCGUAUCCGAGCUGGACUGCUACGAUAAAAAUGGGGCGAUUGCAUUGUAUGGCUUUUAAAGUUUAUGAUAAACGACAAUGAAAUGUGAUGACAAUGUUUUAUUGUAACAUAACAAAUGCAGGAGGAUAUUAUCACCUGUAUGCCGCGUUAGUU